GGGCGGGCGAGGUGUGAGCGCGGCGGGAGCAGCCGAGCCGGGGCUGCGCGGCGCCUUCGCAUUGCCUUUAACCCCCUCUCGUCCUCCCUGCGCCCUUGAACUCUGAGCUGGGGAACUGGGGCUGGGGGAGGGGGCGGGAGGAGGUCAAAGGUCUCCUUUGUGCCUCCCCUCGCAAGGUGGGCCCCCGUGGCAAGCCCCUGUCUUCUGCUGAACACUCGCCUGACUCCAGGACCUCAGGGGGUCUUGCAGGUGACACCGGAGAAGCUGGCCUCAAGGUUUCUUGCUCACUUUUGUGAAGAGCUGAGAUGAUUCUUCUAGAACCACGGACAGGAGGACAGAGCCCAGAGAAGCUACCUGGAAGAUGCCGAAGCUCUCCUGGGAAAGAUGGAAGCUGCAGACGCCUACCCCAGAAGCAGGCUUGUUUGCACACAGCACACAGCACAUUUCACUUGCAUCCUCUGGGGUAAAGGAGGACUCCCACUUCCUCCCCGGCACCCCAAAGCCCCAUGAGAAGCUCCGCACCUGCAGAGAACGUUCAGAGUUGGACCACAGGACUCGGCUUUGCCGUGGGCCAAACACGUUGGUCAGGCUCGUGGACUUCCUGUGGCCUUGAGAACCAGGGAGUGACCGGGGCGGGGGGUGACUGCUCCUGUACCCAGCCCCCUCGCCACAGCUGGAUAGUGGGGUGGCCCCAGCGUCAUCUGGGUGGGACAUGUGCGUGGUGAGCCUGACACCCUGUGAGAUGUGGGUGUGGGUGGUCCCUGGGGCGGGGGCUAAGAGAGCCUGGGCCGGGGUGGGGGGUCCCCUGGCGGCUUAUUGGACACCAGCCUCACUUCCGGCUUCUUGCUCCUUCCUCAGUGUGUGCUUUGGCUUUCAUCACCCUCUAAAAACCCCUUCCCCAAAGUCCAAACCGAGUCUUUGGAAGCCCUGAAUCUCAGCCAGCAGGUGCCUCCAGGGCCUCCGUGCCGGGCUGGGCACAGAUGGAGGGGCUCUGGGCGGGGGCCAUGGGGCAGAAUCAGCCACCCCUGGCCUCAGCUGCCUUGUUAUCUCCUCAUUGUCUCCCUGUCUUCCCAGCCCACCCCUUCCCCGGCCACCCUUCUGUCAUCUCCACACGGCCCCCCCGGGCUCCGGAGGGAGCUCCCGUAGGCUUCCCUGCUCUGGGGGUGAGCGGGAGGGUGGGGGCCAUGGGGUGGAGAGGCCGGGGAGGGGGUGUCAGAGUCGAUGAAUCACGCCCCACUGAGCUCCUGUUUAACACACACUUCUCCGACGAGUUGUCAGUGAAACCGUUAAUUAAUUAGCUAAUCCCACAAUGAAGUGGACUCUAAAUGGUUCCCCCCCUCCCAGGCUCCCAUUUAGAUAAUUGCUGCUGAGGGAUCUUUGGUGAGAGUCAUUUUUUUUCUAACAGGGAUGGCCCCGGAACACGGAGGGAGAUGGAUACAAAGGAGGGGUCAGUGGGCCAUCCCCGAAGCUCCGUUUGGAAAGACCACGCUCCCUUCGCCCCGGCAGAAAUGGGGAAAACGGGGUUGGUCCUUGGGGCUGGGUUCAGGGGUGGGCUUUGGUGUCGGGGGCUUGUCUUUGAGCCCCAUGGCACCCUGCAGUUCCACGGAGGUCUCGCUGGGCUGGGUCCCACACAGGUAAUAAUGUGCAUGAAAAAUGCUGAGGUGGUGUCACGCAUGGGAUAGGCGCCGGCUGAACCUCCAUGGUCUCGGUGGUCAUUCUUGCUGUGGCCCAGGAGUGGGUGGGACCAAAGAGACUGGGGAAACGGAUUUCCGAGUGAGGAAGUGACUUGUCCAAGGCCACAGAGCCGGGGUCUGGCCCGAGAGCCCAUAGCAGCAGUGGGGAUUUGUGGGACUCAGAAGGGACAGCGGCAUGUGUCCGGGGGAGGUGGCCGGGUUGAGAUUACGCAGAGACAGAAAGGACUAUUUGAUGGAUGAAUGAACGGAGCCCACACCAUAUGAUGCAGGAGCAGGACUGAAGGAUGUGGCUGAUCCCCUGUGGACACCGAGUGGGAGAGAGAAAACACGUGUGCAUCUUAGAGUGGGAACCAGCGGCUUCACCUCACUGUGUCCCCUUCGCCUCCCCUGAACUCAGCCCUGCAGUUUCAGUGGGGCUGACCCCUACCCUGAAGCUCCCAGGAAGGGGCCGUGGCCAUGCCUGGCUCAUACACCGCAUCUUCCACCACGAGCUCUGUCCCCAGUGGACACGUCACCAAGCCAGGGCAGUGAGCCUCCAGGCAAGGCUGUUGGCCUGGUAUUUUCAGCUCCUGGGUUUGCUGAGGGUGGCACGUCAGCUUGCAGCUUUGCCAGCAGGAGUGGACCCGAACGGAGUGACAACGAUAUCCAGCAGGUGCACCUGGGUGCAGGUGCACCUGAACCUGUGGCUACUUUCGCGGGUGUGACAGGGGCUGCUGCUAUCAGCAACCAUGCUCCCAGCAUCCUGAAUUGGUUGAGGCAGCCAUGCAGCCAGCUGAGAUACUUGUCCAGAUUUCCUUACAUCACUGAGGGGCCGCGGGUCCCUGCUCGGAGCAACGAGUCCUAGGGGACAGACAAGACCUUAGGAGAAGGGCUUUUGACCUCUGCCCUUUCACCUUUGCCAUGCCCGGAUUCUACACGCAAGGCUUGCCUUUGGGUUUCUGGUACCCCAUGAACAGUAGCCCCCUCGUUCACUGAAGCGAAUGUACUUGUCGCUGUGCUACCUGCAGCCGAAGGCAAUCCUGAUUGACGGGGUGGGUUCCUGUAUUUGCAAGAGGAGAAACCCUCCCCACCCCCGACAAAACUUCUCCAGGAGCUGUGGGGACUGUGAGAAGCCGCAGCCGGUGCGAUCGGGGGAAAUGGCUUUGGCUUCUCUUUUUGAUCCAGGAUGAUCACGCGUCUUGUUCUCUUUUGUCUCUAUUAGCCAGCAGAGACGGCAAUCCAGAAGGACCAUAAAUUGUAAGAAGAUGGACAAGAGAACCAGGCAAUAUUUCAACAUAGGAAAGGUGGGAGAAGCCGGGGGUUGGGGGGAGCCUGUCAUCACACCAUCUAUGCAGCUACAAGAGCCUGCUGGCUAAGCAACUUGCUGUACAACUUCUCUCUCCUGUGUGCUGUUCUCUCAGCACCUGUCACCUGCCAGGUACUGGCCACUUCACAGAAUGAGCCAAUGCCUCCGUGCUGUGAGAGCCCCUGGGUCCAGGGGGGGCCAGUCCUCCCUGCAUUUAAGGAGCUGAGUUCUGGCACAGAGAUGCUGGGGUAGUGCCCCCUGCAGCCAAUCAGUGCCAUUCACAUACCAUUCCAGGGCCAAUUCUGGGAGUGGCCCAGGUGCAGAACUGGACUAGUCAGUCUCAGGAGAAGUGGGCACAGAGCUGUGGGCACUGGGGCCAAGUGUCAGGAAGGCCACCAAUUGGCUUCAGCCUCUGGGAGACGUCCCACCAGCUGCAGAUUCUGGAGGAGGUCUAAGCAUAAGUCUGAGAGUCUUGGAGAGAGAAUUCUAGAACUUGACCCUAUUGUCUGAGAAGACUUGACAGUCACAUCUGAGAACUACAGAAUUCUAUCACAUUAGAUCGAGUGAUUCUCAAAUUCUAGCUUUACAGGGACUUGGAACCCUACAGUUUUAAACUGAAGUCUGACAGCCUGUGUUUCACAGAAUAUGACAAUCAUGUUAGAAAAUUUAGUGAGUAAAACCAGAGAAUUUAGAAAUUCUAGGGGCCGGCAUUUGAAUAGCAGGCAAAGCCACUGCCUGUAACACUGGCAUCCCAUAUGGGCACCGGUUUGGAUCCAGCUCCCUGCUAAUGGCUUGUGGAGGUAGCAAAAGAUGAUCCAAGUGCUCGGGCCCCUGUACCCAUGUGGGAGACCUGGAGGAAGAACCCUAGUGGACAAACAGCAUGGCACUCCCACAAUUCCAAGCAACUGGAUUUGGCCAACAGCACAAAUGAGUUUGUAAGUAGCCACUCCCCCAGAACCUGCAGCCCCGAUGGCAUCUUGAUUUUGACCUUGGGAAGCCCAAUGCCAAGUCCAGCUGAGGUCAUGUGAACCUCUGACCUGCACAGGUGCCAUCAAAUAAUGUUGUGUUGCUUUAAGCCACCAAGUUCAUGGUGCUCUGUUAGGCCAUGGAAGACGGAAGCACUCGCUGCCCUUGUCUGGAAGUUCUGCAUUGGAGAUCUUGGCCUCCCAGUCCCCCUCUCCCCAGUCUCCUUCUGUUCUCUUAGGCCACCCAGAACUCCCGCCCACCCACCUGUCCACCAGCAGCUUUUGAAUAUCUUAAGUCCAGGAGCACCGUCCUCCUAGGACUCCUCCCUCCCUAACACAGGCAUCCUCUGCUCUUUGUGGGACUCAGUUUCCCGACGAUGCCGCAACCCGGAACACUCCCCCUUACACCCUCCGCCCUUCCGGCCGCCCCAUUGCUCCGCACUGCUUCCUGGACAGUUCUUGAAGAACAGCUUCAUCCGUGCUGCCUCAGCUCCGGCUGCCUCCACGGCCCCCCACCACCCCAGGUGGGGAGGUACAUUCUGCCGCACGCUGCACGGAGAGUAGGCAGCCAGUGUUGGUGAAGAGCCCCGCCGACGGCGCCAUUGCUUUCACUCUUGCUCUGGGUGUCAGCUCCAGCCUGGCUCCUCGGGGAAGCUGUCCGUGGCCCCCCUGCCCGCAUCCUGUGGUUGGUGCCCAGGGUGAGGCUGUCUCCCGUCUCCAUGGUACUUGCCACAGCUGGGAUUUGACUUCUACUUCUGGGAUUCUUUGAGUGACUUCCUCCCCGGAGACUGUCAGCUGCGUGAGUGAGGGCAAGUGUCGUGCCGUCUCCGUCCCAGGCUCAGUGUCUGGGACAGUGGCACCCAGUGGACAAAGAGUGAAGGAAGCCCCUCGUUCCUUGCCUCUCAGACUCAUUUGAGGUCUCUCCCCACUUCCUCGCUCUGUUUUUAGUAUUUCCUAGGUGCGGUCUGAUUAGAAAACCCUGGGGGAUAAGUUGGUGACAAGUGACGACUCUAUGCAGCCCUCCCCUUAGAGAUGUCCUGGAAAGAGCUAGAAAAUAAGUCGGGAGCUGUGGAUUCCACCCGGCAAGGCAAAUUUAGGGAAAUCCUAAUCUCAGCAGAGCCAUAGAAAUGAGCUGGUUUGUCUCCGAUCACCCCCAGAGCUGUUGCUGUGAGCUGGACAUUGUCCUCAUGUCCAGCACGCUCGCAUCACUGGGUGGGCGGGGCACCAAGAGGGCCCGCCCACAAUCACACAGAUGGGAAGUGGCCAAGCCAGGACCCCCCUGAGCCUGGGUGACCGCAAAGCCCAGACCUUUUGCUUCUUGAAGGGAAAGCGCAGCGUGGGGGAUGGUGGGGCAGACACAGAACCAGACGGGCCAAGUGCGGCUCCUGCAUCCCCUGCACUCAGCCGUGUGACCUUGGGACACUGACUUGGCUCCCGGGCCCAGCUUCCUCCUCAGCACGAUGGGGAGGGUGACGAGGCCACUGCUCGCAGCCGCCCCACUUCUGACCCAGCUCUGCCUAACGCGCCUGGGAAGGCAGCAGAAGAGGAACGAGUUCUUGGACCCCUGCCCUCCAUGUGGGAGACCCUGAUGGGGUUCCUGGCUCCUGGCUUCAGCCUCGCCCAGACUUGGCUGGGUUGUUGGCCAUUUGGAGAGCGAACCAGUGGAUGGAAGACCAAUCUCUCUCUUUCUCUAUAACUCUGCCUUUCAACUAAAUAAAUAAACC